rnacentral:rRNA from 1 species
AUUGAACGCUAGCGGCAUGCUUUCCACAUGCAAGUCGAACGAGUGGCGGACGGGUGAGUAAUAUAUGGGAACGUGCCCAGUAGCGGGGGAUAACUACUCGAAAGAGUGGCUAAUACCGCAUACUAUUGUAGCUGCCCAUAUGGGAUUAGCUCGUUGGGGGGGUAAAGGCGCACCAAGGCAACGAUCCGUAGCUGGUUUGAGAGGACGACCAGCCACACUGGGACUGAGACACGGCCCAGACUCCUACGGGAGGCAGCAGUGGGGAAUUUUGGACAAUGGGGGAAACCCUGAUCCAGCCAUCCCGCGUGUAUGAGAAGGCCUUCGGGUUGUAAAGUACUUUUGGCUGAGAAGCGGUAUCUGCAGAAUAAGCACCGGCUAACUCCGUGCCAGCCGCCGCGGUAAUAC